GUUUGACUUGAGCGCCAGCGAGAGAGCGUUGCCGCAGGCAACGACCCGAAGGGCGAAGCGUGCAGCGCUGAGUAAUCCUUCCCCCACCACCA
rnacentral:sRNA from 1 species